rnacentral:sRNA from 1 species
CGAAGCACCGAGGACAACGCCACGGCCUG